rnacentral:rRNA from 1 species
UACAGAGGGGGCGAGCGUUAUUCGGAAUUAUUGGGCGUAAAGGGCGCGUAGGCGGCUUUUCAAGUGACGGGUGAAAUCCCUCGGCUUAACCGAGGAACUGCCUGUCAGACUGGAAGGCUUGAGACCGGGAGAGGUGAGUGGAAUUCCCAGUGUAGCGGUGAAAUGCGUAGAUAUUGGGAGGAACACCAGUGGCGAAGGCGGCUCACUGGACCGGAACUGACGCUGAGGCGCGAAAGCGUGGGGAGCAAACAGGG